rnacentral:rRNA from 1 species
CCCUUAGAUGUUCUGGGCCGCACGCGCGCUACACUGAUGCAAUCAACGAGUACUAACCUUGGCCGAGAGGCCUGGGUAAUCUUUUGAAACUGCAUCGUGAUGGGGAUAGAUUAUUGCAAUUAUUAAUCUUCAACGAGGAAUUCCUAGUAAACGCGAGUCAUCAGCUCGCAUUGAUUACGUCCCUGCCCUUUGUACACACCGCCCGUCGCACCUACCGAUUGAAUGGUCCGGUGAAGCUUUCGGACUUAUGCAAUGUCGCCUUUACCGGGGACGCUGCUUUGGGAAGUUAGUUUAACCUUACCAUUUAGAGGAAGGUGAAGUUGUAACA